GAUGAACGCUGGCGGCGUGCCUAAUACAUGCGAGUCGAGCGAACAGACGAGGAGCUUGCUCCUCUGACGUUAGCGGCGGACGGGUGAGUAACACGUGGAUAACCUACCUAUAAGACUGGGAUAACUUCGGGAAACGGGAGCUAAUACCGGAUAAUAUAUUGAACCGCAUGGUUCAAUAGUGAAAGACGGUUUUGCUGUCACUUAUAGAUGGAUCCGCGCCGCAUUAGCUAGUUGGUAAGGUAACGGCUUACCAAGGCAACGAUGCGUAGCCGAACUGAGAGGGUGAUCGGCCACCCUGGAACUGAGACACGGUCCAGACUCCUAAGGGAGGCAGCAGUAGGGAAUCUUCCGCAAUGGGCGAAAGCCUGACGGAGCAACGCCGCGUGAGUGAUGAAGGUCUUCGGAUCGUAAAACUCUGUUAUUAGGGAAGAACAAAUGUGUAAGUAACUAUGCACGUCUUGACGGUACCUAAUCAGAAAGCAACGGCUAACUACGUG
rnacentral:rRNA from 1 species